rnacentral:lncRNA from 1 species
UUAACAGUUCAAGGGACGACUUUAGCGGAGUAGAAAACGGCAGCUAGCAAUCUGCGACAGCCUCAAGGCAAGCAAAUCGGACUGCGAAGUGAAGGUCGCAGAAGCGUGGUUGAGUGGCUUAGCGAUGGAUCCAAAUUCUCCUUUGCCUUGAAUUUUUCCCUACAACUGAAGCCGACAACUUAUUUGAAGUUGUAGAAUGAGUCCGAUCAUCUUUUCCACUCGAAAUUCGAGGGGAGAAUGGGGAUUGAAUUGGAUCUCAACGUAUCACUUUAAGGAAUGUAUUGCAAAGAGAAAGUUAGAGAGAAGGAGAAAGAAGAAAGAGAAUUUGCGUAGGGAGAGUUUCCAUUUCAGAUGAACUUAUCUGAUAUUCUCUGGAUCAUGAUCGCUUAAAAUGCUUUUCAAUUUUCAUAGAGUUACGAAUUACAAAGAUCUAAAUUAAAGACCAGCAAAAGUACAGGUAAAUUUUAUUAACAACGAUAAAUUGAUCUUCCCCCUUCAGCCGUUUCUAAAAGGAACAAUUAAAAAGAAAUUGCAAAUACCCAAGUGCCUACUUCUUUUUAAGGCAAUGAUAUAAUUGCAUUAACACCCAAAAUGGGCUACGACAGGAAGUACAUCUGCAGAUUGAACUUAUUAAAGAAAUUUAAAUCUCUCAAGGCGUUAGCAGCCAUUUCGCACUAUAAACACGGUUAAAAGAGACACGUUAAUUUAGUGAUGGUGUGGAUGGGGAUCUCCCGGAGGAAUAGAGCACUUGCGCCUGGCAGAGUCUUGAUCCCCCAGAUCUCUAGCCGAUGAAAAAUUAAGCAGCCCAAAGUUGAUAUUUCCCUUGGCGUUUUCCACCAAUGCUUGAAUUGAUCCGAUUAUGCUCUUGUUCUCCUCUUUGUCUGGAUUAAGGUGGUGGGUUGCUGACCAUGAAAAUGAAAGAAAUAUCAGACACAGAGAAAUUCUAAACCUGGCCAUCACAAAAUGAUAUUGACGCUCCCUUUUUGAAGAAUGUGAAGUAGAACUAGCUAGGUAGCCUGUUCUGAAUCGCUGAUAUAAUAAACAAGUUCACUGAAGGAAACUGAACCAAAUAACAUACAAUUCCCAUUGGUAGUUUAUGCACAUAAUGUCUUGGUGGUGGAUGAUUGGAC